AUUGAACGCUGGCGGCAGGCCUAACACAUGCAAGUCGAACGAGUGGCGGACGGGUGAGUAAUGUCUGGGAAACUGCCUGAUGGAGGGGGAUAACUACUGGAAACGGUAGCUAAUACCGCAUACCAUCAGAUGUGCCCAGAUGGGAUUAGCUAGUUGGUGGGGUAACGGCUCACCUAGGCGACGAUCCCUAGCUGGUCUGAGAGGAUGCACAGCCACACUGGAACUGAGACACGGUCCAGACGCCUACGGGAGGCAGCAGUGGGGAAUAUUGCACAAUGGGCGCAAGCCUGAUGCAGCCAUGCCGCGUGUGUGAAGAAGGCCUUCGGGUUGUAAAGUACUUUCAGCGGGGAGGCGUUACCCGCAGAAGAAGCACCGGCUAACUCCGUGCCAGCAGCCGCGGUAAUUC
rnacentral:rRNA from 1 species